GAUGAACGCUGGCGGCGUGCCUAAUACAUGCAAGUCGAGCGAACAGACGAGGAGCUUGCUCCUCUGACGUUAGCGGCGGACGGGUGAGUAACACGUGGAUAACCUACCUAUAAGACUGGGAUAACUUCGGGAAACCGGAGCUAAUACCGGAUAAUAUAUUGAACCGCAUGGUUCAAUAGUGAAAGACGGUUUUGCUGUCACUUAUAGAUGGAUCCGCGCCGCAUUAGCUAGUUGGUAAGGUAACGGCUUACCAAGGCAACGAUGCGUAGCCGACCUGAGAGGGUGAUCGGCCACACUGGAACUGAGACACGGUCCAGACUCCUACGGGAGGCAGCAGUAGGGAAUCGUCCGCAAUGGGCGAAAGCCUGACGGAGCAACGCCGCGUGAGUGAUGAAGGUCUUCGGAUCGUAAAACUCUGUUAUUAGGGAAGAACAAAUGUGUAAGUAACUAUGCACGUCUUGACGGUACCAAAUCAGAAAGCCACGGCUAACUACGUG
rnacentral:rRNA from 1 species